UAGGGAAUCUUCCGCAAUGGACGAAAGUCUGACGGAGCAACGCCGCGUGAGCGAAGAAGGCCUUCGGGUCGUAAAGCUCUGUUGUCAGGGAAGAACAAGUAUCGGAGUAACUGCCGGUACCUUGACGGUACCUGACGAGAAAGCCACGGCUAACUACGUGCCAGCAGCCGCGGUAAUACGUAGGUGGCAAGCGUUGUCCGGAAUUAUUGGGCGUAAAGCGCGCGCAGGCGGUCCUUUAAGUCUGAUGUGAAAGCCCCCGGCUCAACCGGGGAGGGUCAUUGGAAACUGGGGGACUUGAGUGCAGGAGAGGGAAGUGGAAUUCCACGUGUAGCGGUGAAAUGCGUAGAGAUGUGGAGGAACACCAGUGGCGAAGGCGGCUUCCUGGCCUGUAACUGACGCUGAGGCGCGAAAGCGUGGGGAGCAAACA
rnacentral:rRNA from 1 species